rnacentral:rRNA from 1 species
CCUGUCCUUUGCAUCACCCUCUAGGUAGUCUAACCAAGCGAAACGACUUUUAGUUUGCCCCCCCGAAACUAAGUGAGCUACUUCAAAAUAGUUUUUGAACUAACCCGUCUCUGUUGCAAAAGAGUGGGACAAUUUUUAAGUAGAGGUGAUAAACCUACCGAACUUAUUGAUAGCUGGUUUUUUAAGAAAAGAAUUUUAGUUCAGCCCUAAGCUUCUCAAUUAGAUAUAAACUUGCUUUAAGCUUAGGAGUUAUUCGAAUAAGGCACAGGUUAUUCGAAACAGGAUACAACCUAGAACACAGGGUAAAAUAUGUAAAAUUUUAGCAAGUAGGCCUGAAAGCAGCCACCUUUUAAAAAGCGUCAAAGCUUACCACUAAAAGUUUAUUUAAUACUUUUAACAAACUCUAACCCUUAUACCCUAUUAAAUAACCCCAUAAUAUUAUGGAAGCUACAAUGCUAGAACAAGUAACAAGAAAAAGACUUUCUCCAGAAUGUAAGCUUAUGCCAGAAUAGACACACUACCGGCAAUUAACGUCUAUAAGCCAAUUACAGUAACACUAACAAGAAAACCCUGUAUAUUUUAUCGUUAACCUCACACUAGAACACUUAUGGAAAGAUUAAAAGAGUGGGAAGGAACUCGGCAAAUAUUGAUCCCGCCUGUUUAC